GACUUUUGGACCUGCCAGAAAGUGACCUUCUAAACCUACCUGGAAGGCAGGGAAACCUAUAAGCCAGGUACCAGGGAGAAGACCUAAGACAAUUGCAUUCUGUCUGGAGGAACUUCCUGCAGUCCCAUAAAUGAACUUGAGAGAAAGCCUCUCCCUGUGCUUUCAGAGAGGCAGAGGACUGAGAUUGGGGGACAGAGGGUGAGGGUGGGAGAAAGUCAGAGAGACUUUGUUUCUGAGGCUGGUUUUUUAGUUCAAAGCAUGUCAAGAGGCUGGGCAUGGUGGGUCAUGCCUAUAAUCCCAGCACUUUGGGAGGCCAAGUUGGGAAGAUGCUUGAGCUCAGAGUUCAAGAUCAGCCUGGGCAACAUGGCAAAACCCCAUCUCUACAAAAAAAUACAAAAAUUAGCUGGGCAUGGUGGCAUGUGCCUAUGGUCCCAGCUACUUGGGAGGCUGGAGUGGGAGGAUCUCUUGAGCCUGGCAGGUCAGGCUGCAGUGAGCUGAGAUCAUGCCACUGCCCUCCAGCCUGGGUGAUAGAGUGGACCUUGUCUCCAAAAAAAAAAAAAAAAAAAAAAAAGACUUGUCAAGGCACCAUAUUUUACAGUAUAAGUUUUUUGUUUUUAGCCCUAAUAAUGUUACAUGAGCCUAAUUAUUUUUAACAUCUGCCUUUUUAGAAGGCAAAAGAACAAAUCUUUGUGACUUUAUGGGAGUCCUUUGGGAAAUCUCAAAGGCAGUUCUAUUUCUUUGUGGUUCUCAAUAAGCUUGAAGAGCACAAGGGGGUUUGGAGACCAAAAAUACUCCACUCCUUUGGGACAAAAUUACUCUUUUCCUCAAAAAAUGGAAAUACACAGCUGUAUUUGUCAGAAACUAUGGCUCCUAAAUAUAGCCAAAGCCACAUAUCCAUUAUAACUUUUAGCCAAAGUAACACACUUCUAUUUCACAGAGAGACCUGGAGAGUGGAUAAUUGUUCACUGUCACACCAGCAUUUUGCAGCAGACUAGCAGAACUUGUGAAUACACACAAUACAGCUUGCCUUAGCCACACAUAUCAUUUUUAUACACUCCCCAAAGUGGCAGAAAUGAGCAGCACAUUCAGUACAGACCCAAAGAGAUAGUCUUAUGAAAAUAAGAAGUAAAGGGAUAUAAACUUGAAAUUAUGAGUAGUAAUGAGUAUUCUAUCUUACUAUCUUGAAAUACUGUCUGUCUAUCUAAUGAUUCUCCAUUAAUUAACUCAACUUACCAUUGGUCCAAGGUUUUAAGUUACUUACAGACCUUGAAAAUUGUCCUGAAGCUGACAUACACAAAACAUAAUUAUUGUUGAAAUAAAGUUUAUCACAAUAAUGAUUCAGUAUGAGUAAAUAUAAAUUUAUAUUUAUAAACAUCUUAAACAUGAAGUAGAAGUAAGGCAAGCUUAUUCAAUCUAUUAACCUGUUUAAGAUUAGGAAAAACAUACCCAAGUAGCAUAAGCACCUACAUUAUAUUAUUCUCAUUCUCUAGUAAAUCAAAGAAGACAUAGGUAUUUUUUGUUAAACCAAUAAUAUUAAGCUUGUAUCAUUUGCCAAAAAUUUAUCUAAAUUAUGUGAACUUGAAUUCUUUUCUUUUUUUUUGAAACAGAGUUUCGUUCUUGUCGCCCAGGCUGGAGUACAGUGGCCCAAUCUCCACUCGUUGCAACCGCUGCCUCCCAGGUUCAAGCUAUUCUCCUGCAUCAGCCUCCCCAGUAGCUGGGAUUACAGGCACAUGCCACCAUGCCCGGCUAUUUUUUUUUUUUUUUUUUUUUGUAUUUUUAGUAGAGACGGGGUUUCACCAUGUUGGCCAGGAUGGUCUCAAAUUCCUGACCUCAGGCGAUACUCCCAUCUCGGCCUCCCAAAGUGCUGGCAUUACAGGCGUGAGCCACUGCACCCAGCUGAACUUGAUUUCUUAAAACAUUAAUUUGGUUUCUGCAAGAGUUCAAAAUAGAAAACAGAUAAACAGAAAAGACUAACCCACUAGAUUCUCUGCUAUCUCUCACCUAGCAGAGAUCUCUGUUAACUAUUAAUUCAUUUACAGAGAUCAUCAAAUAAUCAGAUCAUAAAAGUGAAUUCCCAACCAUUACUUCCUGCAACGGGGACUAACUUACUGACAGUAAACAACCCAAAACCAAAAAUGUAAAAUUAGUAUAGAGGAGAAUUAGAAUGAGAAAAACAGAGUGAGCAAGGUUUUCUUGCCAUCUUGGAUUCAAUUCUGUGAGCCAAGAAAAGAUCUACCUGGGCUUACACUGCCCAUGAAGUGCAUUUCUCUGCCUGCAAAGGUUACCUGGCUUUGGUAGGUAAAUCCACUGGGCAUUUCAGUGGAACUUCCAAAAUUGUUAAAAGAUAAUUUUCUAGAAAAGGUAAGAUCAGC
rnacentral:lncRNA from 1 species